rnacentral:rRNA from 1 species
AACGAACGCUGGCGGCAGGCCUAACACAUGCAAGUCGAACGGUAACAGGAAGAAGCUUGCUUCUUUGCUGACGAGUGGCGGACGGGUGAGUAAUGUCUGGGAAACUGCCUGAUGGAGGGGGAUAACUACUGGAAACGGUAGCUAAUACCGCAUGACGUCGCAAGACCAAAGAGGGGGACCUUCGGGCCUCUUGCCAUCGGAUGUGCCCAGAUGGGAUUAGCUAGUUGGUGGGGUAACGGCUCACCAAGGCGACGAUCCCUAGCUGGUCUGAGAGGAUGACCAGCCACACUGGAACUGAGACACGGUCCAGACUCCUACGGGAGGCAGCAGUGGGGAAUAUUGCACAAUGGGCGCAAGCCUGAUGCAGCCAUGCCGCGUGUAUGAAGAAGGCCUUCGGGUUGUAAAGUACUUUCAGCGGGGAGGAAGGGAGUAAAGUUAAUACCUUUGCUCAUUGACGUUACCCGCAGAAGAAGCACCGGCUAACUCCGUGCCAGCAGCCGCGGUAA